UAUCCUCUUAGCUUUACCACCUCCAUAUCCACUAUAGAGGAAUACAAGCAUUUAUAUGCUUUUGCUAUCCUUAACAUAGUGGUAUCAGAGCUAGUUAGUCUGGCAGUAGAAAAUAGACAACUAGCUAUCCCUCAUCUUAUCCACAAUAAUUUUGAGAAAUAUACUAUAUAAAUGAAAAUACUGUUUGGAUUCCAAGAUAUUUGGGA
rnacentral:lncRNA from 1 species